rnacentral:lncRNA from 1 species
ACUCAUGCGUAGUAAUAAUUAAGCAUACACAAGCAUAAUUCAACCAUAUAAAGUUCAACCAUCAUUAAGCAUACUCAAAGACAUUUAUAAUUAAAGACACUACAUAGCCGUACAUAGUUCAAUCCCACAUCCCAUCUGCUGACACGAUCGUGAAGCUUCUCGAGGUACUCAGUGUACGCGGCAUGCGCCACCCUGCGAGAAUACUUCUGCGUGAAGGAGCCAACGACUAGUCCUCUUGCAUGCGCCAGAACACUUCCAUGUGCGUCAUGAACCAUUUGGUUGCAAAGUGGGCAUCGAAAGCCCCUGUUCCAGGUCCUAAUACGCUUGUUAUGAUUUCCCGCAUAAAACUGCCUCAUGAUUUGCCUCUUGUACCUCCUCUGGCCAUCCUCAUCCUCGCUAUCGACAUCGUCAGAUAGAACCUAUACAUAUAGUAAAAGAAUGUGGCAUCAAAUUUUGAAGAAAAACUAAUCUCUAGCGAACAUUUGGCAGUUACCAAUCAAAUAAAUUUUUACAGGACAUAAAGUAGGAUUAGGAAUUUAUGUAUUUGAUGGCUAUUUUUUAGACAUAUCCAAAGAUUAUUUGUAUAGAUGACUAACAGGUUGUCCUCGUCGUCGGCAUCGUCGAUGGAGUGGUCGUUGGAGUCGUCACCGGAGUCAUUGCAGGAGUCGUUGUGGACCUCCGGCUCCGGCUGUGGAGGCACGACACCGUCGACGAUGUUAAGGUCCAGCAAGACCUCGUCGGCGACAACGACAACAUCUGCCUCCAUCUUCACACCCUUCUCUGAUGCUUCAGCGGCCCCGGCGUCACCACUCUCUCUGAUGGGGAGCUUUAGUGACAUCCUCAUACACUAGAGGCGGUGAGGACUGAGAGCGGGGUCGAGGAUGCAAGUGGAGAGAGAGGAUUGUGUUUGUAGCGAGGACCGGAUUUUGGCGUUCGGGAACACCAUUAAUAUGGAGUAGUGGG